AUGCUGUGGAGGGGAGAGGAGGGUGCAGUGACACCGUCAAGGGAAGGGAGGCCCUAUGGACAGGAGCAGAUGGGCUCCGCCAGUGGCGUGGAGAGGAGGAGUGUUGAUGCUGUGGAGGGGAGAGGAGGUUGCCGUGAAGUUGUCGAGGGAAGGGAGGUGGCAAAGAUAGGAGCGGACAGGCUUCGCCAGUGCCGUGGAGAGGAGGAGCGCCAACGACAUGGAGGGGAGAGGAGGGGCGGCCCAGACUGA
rnacentral:rRNA from 1 species